GAAAUUUAAGCAUAUCAGUAAGCGGUGAAAAGAAACUAACCAGGAUUCUCUCAGUAACGGCGAGUGAACAGAGAACAGCCCAGCACCGAAGCCUAUCUGCGUUUGUGGAUAAGGCAAUGUGGUGUUUAGGUGUAUGCCUGGGGCGGUCAGUCUAUUCGAAGUCCAGCAUAGAUUAUGGCUCUGGAUUUGGUCCAAAGCGGGUGAAAGACCCGUACGAAUAGACUGUGAGGCUUGUCGGCCGCCCUCAGAUGCAUUCACCUUGGAGUCGGAUAGCUUGAGAAUGCUGUCCAAAGUGGGUGGUAAACUCCAUCCAAGGCUAAAUACUUGCACGAGUCCGAUAGCUAACAAGUACCGUGAGGGAAAGUUGAAAAGUACUCUGAAGAGAGAGUAAAUAGUACGUGAAACCGCCUGUAGGGAAGCUGGUGGAGUCAAGCUGCAUGCCCUGGAAAUUAAGCAAGUGAUUGUUGUGGUAUUGUGGACUUGGGCGAUCGGUGGCCUUGUAAAUAGGCCUGCGGAUUUAUCCGCUCCAUGUGCACACUGGUCAGUGUGUAUUAGGCCGGUCGUCUUAUGUCUGCGUCGCUUGUGUACUUUUCCCGUGGCAGACAUCACGAUCGGUAUCGCCGCUGGCACAUGGUAGUGAAACCAUUCGGACGCGGGUCUCGUACUCGCGCCGGGUGGGACGGCAGGUAGCUUGCUUGAGGGCUUCACGGCUCUCUUGUGAGUGUUUUGUGGUUAUGACCGGCUCUCUACCAUUUUAUGUUACGCGUUCAGCCAUGCGGUAUACCGUUGAUCUGUUUCUGUGCGCCAAGGUCGCUGUGCUCUCUGAUGGCUGCGCGGUCCCGCUUCUGUGAAAGCAGUUCGGGCUCGUGUCUGGCCGUCGGGGGUUGAACGCACAUCCGAUUGUGGCUUGCAUGUGAAUCGNGGUGUUGNGGNANACUUUCCACCCGACCC
rnacentral:rRNA from 1 species